GACGAGGGAUCCUAGCGUUGUUCGGAAUCAUUGGGCGUAAAGCGGGUGUAGGUGGCUAUGUAAGUCAGAUGUGAAAGCCCAGGGCUUAACCCUGGAAGUGCAUUUGAUACUGCGUAGCUUGAGUGUGGGAGAGGAGAGUGGAAUUCCCGGUGUAGCGGUGAAAUGCGCAGAUAUCGGGAAGAACACCCGUGGCGAAGGCGGCUCUCUAGUACGGUACUGACGCUGAGACGCGAAAGCGUGGGGAGCGAACAGG
rnacentral:rRNA from 1 species